AUGCUCACUGCAAAAGCACUUACACCCAAACUGGAACCAGACAGAGAAGGUUAGCAUGGCUGGGGUGAGGAUGACAGGCAAAUUUGUGAAGUAUUCCUGUUUUUC
rnacentral:snRNA from 1 species